rnacentral:lncRNA from 1 species
CGAGCUCCUCGGGAGACUGCGAGGGCGACCUCGCGGCUACUCCCCUGGACUGGUGAGCCCGCUAGGGGUUGUUAUGUGACGAAGCAAGUCCGUGCUGUCACCGGCCACCCAAGUCUCACGGUGGGCCUGCCCUCUUGUUUUUGUUGUUUCUGCUGCAGCUCCUGACAGUACCCUCACACGCCCUGUUCAUCUGCGCGACCGCCUUGUUUUGGAUGAAGCCAGUGACGCCAUCACUGCUGGCCCGCAUUCUUGACGGGGGCUGCCGAGACUGUUUCGAAACUUGACAGCAGCCACCUUGUUCACUCCUUGGCCCGGGUCCGUCAGCACCGCCUCUUUGUUGUCUUCCCGCCUGGUGACGCAAUCGCUGCGCGCCCGCUUUUAGUACCCUGUGAACUGAUCCCCUUUAGCCGAAAGCAACGCCGCCUGGUUAUAGUCUCAGCCCUGUAAGUUAUCGCUCAGCGUGGCCGUUUUGUUUUGGUCGCGGGGUUGUGACGCCAUCACGCCGCGCCGGAAUAGAUCACUAGUACCAGAGCGCGGUUUUUAAGCCUCAGAUCUUAGCGGUUGUUCCGGGGUCCGUGUGUUCGUCUGUGUGUCUGUGUGUCCGCGGACGUGUCCCGGGUCUUCGGGCCAGUCUGUUGGCCCAUCCCGCACCUCCGUCGCCGCCAUGCCGCCUGGGAAGCCGCUGCAGCCUCGGCUGCAGAUUAAGAUGUACCAGCUGUUCCUGUGCUGGAUCCGCGAUCCCAAUACACACCGCGCUCUGCCGGACCGGCUGCGGCGCAUCCAGGACG